AGCUUUGUGCAGUGGCAGUAUCAUAGCCAAUGAGGUUUAUCUGAGGCGUGAUUAUUGCUAAUUGAAAACAAAAGCAUCAGUUGUUUGGUGCUUAGCUUUCUUUAUAGUCCAACUCUCACAUCCAUACAUGACCACUGGAAAAACCAUAGCCUUGACUAGAUACACCUUUGUUGGCUAAGCAGUAUCUCUGCUUUCUAAUAUGCUAU
rnacentral:snRNA from 1 species